rnacentral:rRNA from 1 species
AGUGAACGCUGGCGGCAGGCUUAACACAUGCAAGUCGAGGGGCAGCGCGAUGUAGCAAUACAUUGGCGGCGACCGGCGCACGGGUGCGUAACACGUAUGGAACUUACCCUUUACUGGGAGAUAGCCCGGAGAAAUCCGGAUUAAUAUCCCAUAAUAAACGAAGUGGCAUCACUUUGUUUUGAAAGCUCCGGCGGUAAAGGAUGGCCAUGCGCACGAUUAGCUAGUAGGUGAGGUAACGGCUCACCUAGGCUACGAUCGUUAGGGGGCCUGAGAGGGUUAUCCCCCACACUGGUACUGAGACACGGACCAGACUCCUACGGGAGGCAGCAGUGAGGAAUAUUGCGCAAUGGAGGCAACUCUGACGCAGCCAUGCCGCGUGCAGGAAGAAGGCGCUACGCGUUGUAAACUGCUUUUAACCGGGAAGAAACCCUCCGACGUGUCGGAGGUUGACGGUACCGGAGGAAUAAGCACCGGCUAACUUCGUGCCAGCAGCCGCGGUAAUGUCG